GUGCUCUAAACCAAGAGGGGGGAGGAGGGGAACUGGUUUAAAACAUCGUAAUCUGGUUUUAAAGGUUGGUUAAAUAUUAAUUAAAUGUGCAGGUUUUGAAGUAGGAUUGCAAAUCAUCACGACAAUGAGGAGUAAAGAAAAAACAGGUGAUAGUGAAAGCAGACAGAAGAGACAGAAACACAAGGUGCAAUCUAUCAACUUUCAGUUUUCAGUGUCUAUAACUCAACAUGUUGUCUGCUCUGCCUCUGGAUUAAUUUAUUUCUAUUAUAACAGGCAAGAAUGUUUUUGUUGGGGUUUUUUUUGGUCCCACAGUUAUGAGGGAUACUUUUUAAAGUGUAAGGAUAGGCUACACCAAAAUAAGAAGGUAAUACCUUUAUCUCCCUUUACCUUUUCCUUAUCUUUCUUUAUACCUUUACCUUCCUCUGAAGGUAAUACCUUUAUCACCAAGAUACCACUUUCACAGUUGCCAGCAUUUACUUUAUGCUAUCAUUUAAAAGUUCCAUUUUAGAGGAGUUUUUUAAAAAACACCAAAACCCACUUAUUUAAGUAUAAACAUUUCCUCCCCCCUAACUCAACUAUAUUCUUAAACUACAUUACAUCACAGAGUUAGAGAAUCCCAUUUUCCUCAACUUGGAAACUGCACACUUUUUUCUUCUUUUUAUAGCAACAACGCCAGCUUUACUACCAAGGUUAAGAAACCCUCUCUGCCUAAGUGUUGACUUAGUUCUUCUAACAUCCAUGCAAUUACUAGAAAUGUCAUGAAGUUUGGUAUUGCAACCUCAUACUGGAACAGAGGCAUUCACCACAACCAUAAAACAAAAACAUCUGUCCCCAGUCUACUUCCAGUUCUCCGAGCUGACAGAUUCUAUCAACUUUCUUCUGUGCUGACCAGGUUAUUCUUUGUACAUCCUCCAAAGGAUCUGGGUUGCAUCACAUUUACCUUCAGCAUAACUUGGCACAUUUUGGGGAAAAGGACAACAAAAAGCUGUCUGCAAACAUGUAUGUCUCACCUGCACACACCAAACAGAUUUGUGAGUGGGAGAUGCCAGGGACUUUCUAGUUUAUUACUGCUUAUGGUGUGUGGAUCCAGGAGAAACAUACUGACCUACAUUCCAAUGUGGAUUAGAAAAAUAAUCCAAAUGUAAAUGGUUAAUCAAGACAGUGGGGUUGUUUUUUUUUUAUGAUUAUGGAGAUAUUGAGAAGGGGGAGUAACCGAAGGACUCUCGGAGCAGUGUAGUUGUUAACCAUAGCGUUUAUUUAGUCUCUUUAUCCGUGAGCAAGCCUUGGAAGGCUGAAGUGCUCCAGAAUCUUCCCUUCAAAAUAUUGGUGCCCCAUGGAUUAGCAGCCUCAGCAGUGUAUCUCAUGGCAAGCGCCUAAAGUGAGGUCCAAAGGUUAGUUGAGUCCAGUAAGAGUCUCCAUCACCCUGCAAGCCAUCAGAUCUAUGCAGUUUUCCCCAAACCAACACUAGAUUAUUUCUGUGGGCAUGUGGCAAGGGACAGCACAAUGUAGAGGAGAGCACAAUGUACCUGCCAGCUCUUCUGUGGACACGUCCUCCUCCUUGACAUCUGGAAACCUACCUACCCUUUUAAGAAUUAUCACCUGUGAAAACACAUGUGAAGGAACCCUGAUGCCUGUCAAACUAUUUUACUACUACUUCAACAGCUCAAAAACGUCACAGGACAUGUUGCCAGCCCACUGAAAGCAACUAUUAACCACCUUGUUUGGGCUGUGAACUGAUGUACAAGUCUUGCAGACACCAUUUAGAGUGCCACAGGCCAUAAGGACCUUGGGGAAGAAAUGCAGACCCACAACUGAAGCACUUUUCUGUUCCGAGGAAAGCUGUGCUGUAAGUAAAGCCAUAGUUGUUUAAGAAAUCUUGGAGUACCUGAAGUAGUGCUGGGAAUGUCAACAAAACACACUGUGGCUGUGCAAGUCCUGUUCCAUUUUUAGCACUUUUAUUUCUGUGACCCUUUAUAAUAAAGCCUGAGGCACAGUAGCCAGAGGGAGAGUUCUCAGAGAGUAAAACCUCUGUUUAAGACCAACCAACAUAUCUAAGGCUUCGUUAAUGAUACUUCAUUCACAGAAGAGGAAAUAGAGCAAAAAGUGUGUGCUAUGUCAGCACAAGCAAAGAGUGACCAGCCAGGUUUACACCUGCCUGAGAGUUGUCAGCUGGAGGCAAAGAGCCUCUGCCCCAAAACAGGCAAUCCUGGCUAAUCCAGAAAGCCUUCUUGCUGCAAUAUUUGCUUGUGAGAUGCCAUGUCCACCUGACUGACCUAGUCUCUGGAUCAGCUUGAGAAGGCAAAAUGACUCAUGGCUGUCUCUAGAUAGUACUGGAACAGCUCGUUAAAGAAACCAGAGUCCUCUCCAAAGGUAGCCAAAGUACUCACAGCUGUCAUGUUGAUCACUGCACUCCUACUUGCAACAUGCAAAGUCAGGAAAGCUUCUUGGGAAAGUUGUGCACACUCUGAGGAGCAUUAGCCACUCUCAGCACUUGCAAGCUCUCUUCACACCAGAGAAUGACCAGUCCUCUCUGUUAGAAAACAUCUGCGUUUAACUCAUCUGUGUCAGUAGCAGUUCAGAAAUCCUGGAGAAACUCAGUCCACGAGCUAAUGCCUGCUGAAACUUGAAAUAAACCUCUUCUGGAAGAAAAGCUAGUGAUUUCUAGGAUGUAAGGAUCAAUGAUGCUGAACUGAGAGACUGAAGACAUCUCUUGGGGGGGAGGAGACCAGAGUAUGAGCAGCAACAGGCCCGUAACCUUAGCAAAACCAGAUUACGGCUGUCAGGGCCUGUGAGACUGGUCUCCUCAACCUCUUUCCCAUGACGAAAAUGGGAAGCCGAUCCAGACCUCAACCUUAUUAAGGUGGCAGCAACAACCAAGGAUGUUAAUCUUGACUGACUGGAGAAUGAAGAUGAAAUUUUAUUUUCACCUGCACACAAGCCAAGAGGAUUAGGUCGUAGAGGACCAGUCCAAAAAUGCUAUGAAGUGGAGAGGACAGACCAUACAUGGCAGGUCAGAGCCAGGAACAGAUCUGGCUGGUUACCAGCAGCAAUCAUAAGCAGCUGGAGGACGUGCUCCAUGUGUGUGCUACCAAACUGUUUCUGAAGUCUAGCUCACUCAGAGACUUGCCAGGUCUGAACAAGUUAGAUUGGCCAGGGUGCACUUUGUUCAUCACGGAACACUCUUGAUCUCCUCCUCAGCAGCAUCCAUGUGCCCGUGUAGAGGCUGAAAUACUGAAAGCAGGGAAGUUCCUCGCCUCAAACAUUAAAUCCUUCUUUGUAAGCUGCAGAAACAGAAUUACACUGGGGAAAAAAAAAUACAUACCUACAGGCUCAGCUGGGAUUCGAAAGAGUAUUUAAAUUAUUUCACAAACCUAAUUACAUAGUCAUCAUGUGGCUCCCUCAGUAUAGAUAAAAAGAAUGUUACUGAGUGCAGUAAAAGCUCUUCCAGUUGUAUUUUACCAAUUUUCACAUAAUAAGGACUACGAACAUGAGCCUACAAUGCGCACUUGCAGCCCAGAGAGCCAACUGUGUCCUGGGCUGCAUCUAAAGAAGCGUGACCAAGCAGGGCAAGAGAGGGUGAUCCUGCCCCUAUGCUCGGCUCUCGUGAAACCCCAGCUGGAGUACUGUGUUCAGUUUGGAGCCUCCAACAUAAGAAAGACAUGGAGCUCCUAAAGUGAGUCCAGAGGAGGGCCCAAACAUGAUCAGAGGGCUGGAGCACCUCUGCUAUGAAGACAGGCUGCGACAGUUGGGGCUGUUCAGCCUGGAGAACAGAAGGCUCUGGGGAGACCUUAUAGUGGCCUUCCAGUACCUGAAGGGGGCCUAUAGGAAAGCUCGGGAGGAACUUUUUAGAAGGGCUUGUAGUGAGAGGACAAGGGCUAAUGGAUCAAAACUUAAAGAAGGGAAAUUAAGACUAGACAUUAGGAGGAAAUUAUUCACUAUGUGUGGUGAGACACUUAAAAAAAGUACUUUAGAAAGGUAGUUGCCUAUCCAGUAGCGAUGCCAUUUUAUGCCAAUCAGAACUUAAAAAAAAACAUGAAUAAAUUAAAAUCUUCCUAGAGUACCUACAGAGGUAGAUGCCACUUUACUGGGUUUCUAGCUCUCCUCCACUUAGAUGGUAUUGGAGAGGAGCGGAAGUGCAGAGCAGACGCCAUCCCCUGUGUUACCACGCAGCUUAAGUCAGAAACCCUUAACUACAACAUAGAUUUUGUUUCAUCAGUUGCCAAAAGAUUAUCUAGUUUCCCUCCCUCUCUGGCCAACAUCCUGUCAUCAUCUGAAACAAUUAAGCUCACUUGAUCAUCUGAGCUUGCAGUUCAGAGCUCUGAGGGUAUCAGCUAAACGUAAAGCAAAAAGUAUAAAUGUAGCUCUAGAUUAAUAAUCAUUGCAAACUUCUCUGAAGAAGUGGCUCCAAUGCCAGAAACUGCUGAUACGAAGAACUACAGCAGUGCCAGUAGUGCACUCUUACUUUGGCAGCUGAAACGUUAAAAGUCAAUUCACAGGAGGAAAGGGAAGACACUCAUUAAGAUAAUAAUGGGGAAGUUCAAGGUCUGGCAGCUGGGCUCACAGUAGGCUGGGGUGAGAAAGGAAUGCUUUAUAUCCCACCACACCCCACCUCCUCCCGGAUCUGCAGCCGCCCUCCCAGGGCCAGUGGCUCAAGCUCGCCGGAUCCCGCGGCUGGUGCUGCUUUUCCUGGCACUCACCCAGAACUGCAUCAAGCAAGUCCGGCACCCUGGACUCGGUGGUGAUCCCUGCAUGAACACACGUUGAAAUUAAAAUCAGAACUGUGCUACGUGAAGUGACAAGGGGUAUUUGUAGGCAGAGCCCUAGCAAAUUCGGGGAUUGAUUCCAGAAGACAGCACAGAGACUACUGCUGCCUUACCAAAAUCUACCUCUCCUUAGCCUCUCUCCCUUUACAGGCAACGCAACAGGCUGCUGCCAGCACACCAUGUUGGAGUGAGCAUGCAAGGAGCCACAGGAGAACCACAAAAUGGAGGAGGCACAGCACUGUAAAGAAAACACAAAGCAUCUGUUCCAGCUCACAGGAAUAUUAUUUCGAAUCCUUGAAUGUCACAGCCUUGAAGACAACUGCUUAGUGAGUCACAUUAAGGACACCUCCAUUUACAAGAUCUACCCUUAAGCCUAACAGCAUGUCUGGAGAGAAGGAAAGGGUAUAGUGAUGGUCUUUGGUUUCCUCUACUGCAGGCUAAGCUUGUAUUUACUGCAACUGAGCAUGCACACAUACACACACUCACCCUCUUUCAGUGGUUCUUCUAACAUAUCCUAGCUUGUAAAACCACAGCGGGACUGAACUUUUCAUGGUCAGAACCUGUCAGACUCUAGCGACUUCCUAGGCUCCUUCUCCGUGUCCAUGCUCACAAUGCUCUUCAGCCCUUGACCUUCGAAGCCCUCCUCCUUUUGGUUACUGCUUCACCAAUUAACUAACUCAUCAAGAAUGUAUUAGAAACAAUGCCAUCCCAUGCCUCACACGACAUCCAGCACAACAGGUACAAUUCCCCAGUUGUCUUUGCUUCCAUCAUAAUGAACACCAACUGACUGAGGCCAACUAACAACUGUUCUUUCCAGCUUCUCCUGUUAUCAAUGCUCAAAUCAUCCAUGUUUUUAUAGACAAUUUUUAAUAUGACCUCUGAAAAAGCAGAGCACUACAAAGUCAUCUACAUUGUGACCAAGAAGAGGGACUCCUAAACAGGCUUACGUAUUUAGAUACUUAAAAGUAUGGGAUGUUGAAAGCCAUUUUCUACCUUUUCCAGUUCUUCACUGAUCACUAAGAUGAAGGAGGCAUAGCCAAUGAUUACAAGAACAGCUCUGACCUUUACUUCUUUUCUGCCUACUGAAGUCUGAAAACCAGUGGCAUUUGGAAAAGAAGAAGCAAGCACAGAAAAGCACAAAAGAUGCAUUGAGAAGGCUCCUGGAAAAGACAAGAAGAAACAGAAGGAAUUUAGACAUUAUGCUCGUUACCUUUGUCGCUAGAGUAAGGUGCGUGGACAUUGUUGCUUGGAACAGAGACAUUCUGAUGCUGUGGCUGGUUCACUGUUUCUAAAAAGGAAACGAGGUUCUCGUGGUGCGACAGUUCUUCUGCCACAGGGAAGGAAACGAUAUUCCAGUUCAGCUGAGUAUCCCCUUCUGUCAGUGCCCGGAAAAGGGAAGGAAUUGGUUCAUGCAACUCCUCGACAGUACUCUUGGAUGUUGGAGGUGUGUCGCUGUAAUUGCGAGGAUUGCACAUACCUGCAGAGGAAUGAAACAAUAAGUUACACUACACUCCCUAAACUACUCUUCUUGAAACAAGCAGGACUAUCUAGAAAAUUAAAACGGUGUUGUUGUUUUUUUUUCCUUUUUUAAAUAUUUUUUUUUGUGCUAAGCACAACAGAGCCCUCAUGUACCUAUCCCACUCUUCACUCAAGGGCAAAAGCACCAGGGACAAGCUUUCCAUAAUGGUAAGUUUCUGAUCUCUAUGCUGACUUCAACAAAAGGCACCUGCAACUUUUGAGAUCCAAAUCAAAAGAAAAAAAAAAUCUACUUGGCACUUUCCUUCCCUUUUUAUGCUAUCAUUAGAGUUUAGAAUAUGAAGAGUUCAACAAAAGGUUUGUUUCCCCUGGGCAAAGAGACAAAGCACAGUAUAAUCCAUACUAGCAUUCACCUGGAUUGGAAGUUUACCACCGAAGGCAGAUAGUAUCUUGACAAGUCCUGAGGUUCAUGAAACUUUUGCUCACAAUUCAAGUAUCUGAUCUCAUCCACUGCAGCAGUGCACUAGAGCUUAUCAGCUGUCUGCCGGACGUGCAAAGAUAAGUAUCAGGAGGGAGCAAGAGUCUGAAUUACUUUACCUACUCAGAGACAGUUGAGAUGAACGUUUGUUACUUAGUUGGAGGGGUCACUACAGGCAAAAUGCUUAUUUCCAGGUUACCUCUUCUUUGUUUUUCCCCCUCUUUUAUGCUAUGUGUUUUGAAACCUUAUAAAUCUCUUUGCCACUUCCUACAAAAUGCUCUUCUGAUGUGCAAUGCAGGCGCAGAUUUUUCAUUAGCCAUUUAAACACUCCCAUUUAUUACCAGCCAUGAAACUGCAAGGUACUUUGAUUUAAUCCAAAUAUUGAAACAACCAAGAUAAAAGAAAAGUUGUACCUGCAUAGGUAUUUAAACUCAGAAGCCCUAAAAUACUAUUAGAAGUCACCUGGCCAGAGACAGACAGAUCCCUUUUCCUCAUGUACAUCUGGAUAUCCCUUUGGGUAUUUUCACAGAUGGUGUUUCAGACAGCUACAGCUGCAAAGCACACCAAUCCUUAAAGUCCCUUCUAUCAAAGUGGUAUGGGACACAAAUGUCCAAAGUGCAUCUGCCCCACUUAACCAGGAAAGCAUUUCCUGCCCUGCAGAUACAUCAGGACUCCUGCUUUAGAAAACGUGUUUAACUAGAGCCUUAAACAAACCCACAAUCUUUUCAAUCUAAGUAGAUGGGUUUCCAUAAUGAACAAAACAGAGUGAAGUUCAUCCACGAUGAUUAACAUGCAAUCUGGCAAGUCUUAAGCAAGCAGUUAGCAUUACCAGUAUUUAAUAAAAGGAGUAACACGAGACAGUAUACUCCUAUUAAAAAGGUAACCCAAAUAUCGGGUAGAAAAAAAUAAGCCUCUCCUCCAAACAAGAUCAGGUCACACUAAAAAAUAAUUCCACUUACACAAACUUCCUACCAUAAACUAUUAUUUUCCAAGUCCUCUCAGCUAUGUUUGUUCUUUACAGACAGUCCUGGGCUCAGUGCUUUAAUAAAAAAUGUCUGUCUUUGCAUUAUCUUUUAGUAAGCACUUUGAAUAUUCACCCUACCACCGUAAUAAAGGAUGUGCACUUAAAAUUCAAUUAGGAAGAUAUCAGACCAGGUUAAGAAUUUUGUACAGAGACACUGAGAGAUGUAUACUUCAAUUAUUGUAUUGAUGUUGUGAAAUUAAAACCAGUAAGCCUUUUUAGAGCCUCUCUGCAAGGCUGCAUUCACAAAACAGAUUUCCCUGGAGAAUAUAUAUAAAAAAAAAUACCAUCAACAUUGUUUAUAAAAUGAUUCCAAAAUAUGCAGAGUUUGUGUGCAUAUAAAUCUAAUAUGAAAAUAUUGUCUUAAGAUGGUACUAAGAAAUCAUUGCUCAUAGUUUAAUGGGUAACUGCUCAUUCCAAAGAUCCUUCCCUCUUACUAUUUUUAAAGUAUUUUAACUACAAAAUUUAUAUAUAAUAGUAAUAAUUAAAAUACAGUAGCUUUGGUUAAAAUAAAAACAUUUAACUUAUGAGCAACUGGUAAGGAAGAAAUACAUAUACAUUACUGCUUUGGAAUAGAUGAGAAGAUGCAGAAAUUGGCUAUUGAAAGGACAGAACUGGAAAAGCCUUUACAUGAGGGUCUACAAGAGCCUAACCCACAAAGUGUAGAAAAGUAGAGGGAAUAGGGACCUGUUUUUGUUCUCCCUCCUCCAGUGUCUCUGUCCUACUAAGGAAGGGAGAGAACAUCCACGCAAAACACAGGGCAUCAACUGACUAGAGGUCAACCUAAUGGUGGAGGGUAAGAAGGUAAUUCCUGGCCUCCAAGUAGAAGUGCCCUGAAAGACAUGACAACCUAUCUGCUUUUACAUUACUUGAUCCAUUUACAAAGAGACUUAAAUAUCAGCUCAAGUAUUAGCAAAGAACCAUCUCUGGGAAGCUGGGUAUGACAUACACUCCUGUUUGCUCAUUUAAAUAAGGCUACAGCAAGAUGAUGGGAAUGAAGAAGAACUACUUCUGAACAGGACCAGACCAUAGAACCAACAAGGUCUAAGGCUCCCACAGAACCACCAGGAGAUGGUUUAGUUUGCUCAGUACUGGAAAACUGAUCCAAAGACAUUUUUUACUUCUCUCCUGGAUAACACCAUGGGAAACAGCAGCAGAACAGUGGAUAAUCUACAGAUUUAGGAAAAAAUGUGUGUGGACUUAGCUUUAUUUUUUUCCCCCCCUCACAAUCCCAAGAGGCAGGUUCUUUGUUUCCCUAGAGGAUAUAAGCACAGUACACUUUGCUUUCUACAGCAGAUAAUGGUUCUGAACUAGGGAAAAAACCUACUAUCCUGUUCCCCAUCCUUAUGACUGAAAAUGACAACAGUGCAUUUUAGCACAUUACAAAAAUCAAGGGCAAAGGAGUAGGGAAAAAAUAACAUACAUACAUACAUAUAUAUAUAUAUAAAAAUUUUCAAGGACUGCACUAAAAGAUUUCAGAUCAAGCAGUGGAAAAAAAAAUAGAUCAAGCUCUAAGGCCUAUUUCUAAAUGUAUAUCUUACACAGGGGCUGAAAACACUUUCUGCCUUUGGGAAGAAUAACACACAUGCUGGACCAUGCCACUUCACUGCUUACUGAAAGACAGUAAAGCAAAGGUAAGCUAGCCAGAACACACACACACAAAAAGCAGGAUAUAAGCAUUUUGCCUGUAGUGACCCCUCCAACUAAUAAAGCAUAUUCACAUCAUGAUGGAACAGGAGGAGCAACGGACUGCACUGAAAAGGAGCAUUUUGAAGCUAUAUAAUCUUCAUUAAUUCAGAGAAGCCCCAGUCAGCCAGAGAAGCUGCAAGCAGGUACACCACUCAAGACACAUCCCUUUCAUGGAAGCCAGGUGGAUUUUCAAUGGCAGCAGCAGGAGGCUUCCAGCAACCACAGGAGGAUGAAACUUUCAAUACAUUUUAAACUAGAAAUGGAACUAGGAUAUGUCCUCUGUAAACAGGGGCAGCAUUCACAUGCAGAGAUCUGGAAUCUCUGAGCACUACCUGUUAGUAGUAAUGCUGCUCUUGUUAAGACUGUCAUCUAAUCCUACAGUAAGAGCUUGUAUGCCUCUUUCUUAACCCUUCACAGAGAGCUCUUUGUUCAAGUAAAAGAACGAGGAAAAUGCUGGGCCAUGCACUUUACUACUAGUGCCAAGGAUUCAAAGGGAACUCAGAAUUGUCCCUGUGCUCUAUCUGUCCAUCACUUUCCAGUUAGAAACCUCCAUACAGCAUCCAACCCUAUGAAGCAGGUGCUGCAUAGUUUCCUCAAGAUGACAAUUCGAAAAGGAGUUUUUUGUUUUAGAGACAAAAUUAAGUCAGUUAUGAUGACAUUAACCAAGUAAAAUCUGGACUACAGCCACUCCCCACUCCAUAGAGCAGAUACAACUUCCAAAUAUUUGUUUCCCCACAGUAGUUUAUUCAAUGCCCACAGAACGAGCCGUAAGAUGUUUCCAGCACAGAUUAUGUCCAGCAUUUUACUUCUAUAAUAAGACCAUGAGCUCAGCAUGUGGCAGGAGGAAGCAAUUUAAAAAAAGAAGAAAAACCCAAAGAAUACAAACUUACCAACACAGUCACAGCACUCAUCCCAAAGUGUGCCCAGGCAGAGCAUGCACUCCUUACAGCAGGAGCAGUUCCCUUCCCCGGGGCGGCACUGACACAGCUCCUGAAAACAACAUAAACUCAUUACACCUCAGCAACCCCAGAUGUAAAAUGCUACCAGGGCAGAGCAGUUCUGCCUCAAGCCACAACUCAAACUGCAGCAUUAAAAAAAGCUUGGUACACUAAUACAGUGAGUAAGUGAUAAAACAGUUCCAGCCAAAGAACCAAACUUAAGUUUGCAAAAGGAUCUUUUGCAAGCUUUUUUUUUAAAGGUAAAACUCUAAAGACAAAUCUGAAGUCAAGAAGCAUUUAAAAGAGAGAAAGUGUUAUUCAUGGGAAAGGUGUGUGCACUUCUAUGUAUACCUGAAUAUAAAAGUUCUUUGAAGGUCUUUCCCAUCACAACAGGAAGUUCAAAUAAGGAUGUUUCUUUAUAUAUAAAUAGUGUGCGUAUGUUAUAAUUUAGCUAAAAAAGGAAGUUACUAUAAGCAGCAUGUGCAUACUCAAGAAGAUACACAUAGACCAUCACACCUAUUCAAGGAUUUUAAAAGGAACUUACUCCAUUAAGUCACCUGACCACAGGAUGUUGUACAUCUCUGAAUUGUUACACAUCGCUUUCUCCAUUUGCAAUAUUAGUGACCAGAUCAUUCCCCCUGCUGCCCCACCCCUGCCCCCAGUCCAGGCGAUUCAUUUUUGCUAUAAUAAAAACAACCCUCCGCCUCCUCCCUGCCCCCCACUCAACACCUUGGAAUACUUCCAAGACUUCUGGAGCCUCUAUAAAGUGAAGUGAUAUGCACACACAUUUUUCUUUAACCAGUAUGAAACAAAAAAGAUGGAAAAGACAUGGAAGCAAGAAGACAAUCCUUUCUCUUCAUGUUACCUAAACCUGAAGGCAUUGGUUUAGCAGUCCUGGUAGAGAUGUACACUUGUGGACCUCAAAGUAUGCCAAAGCCUACAUGGAUGAAGGAAAUCUAAAAAACAGGCAGCCUCCUUCCCUCUAGCUCAAAUCCAUACUAGUAAUUCCAGUUUGGCCAAAAGACUGUGGCUCCUUGACAAUAACAUAUGGGCUUGAAUUACACCACAGUGCAAAAUGCUGACAGCCAAGAAGUCACAUUUGGUUGUCCUGUCUAAGAAUUGAGUUUUGAUGACGUCUGUCUAACUAUCAUGUUAUGCACAACUGAUGAGAAACCAAAAUCCCAUUACUGGAAACACUGACAACGGGAUCCUUCCCACCCCUGGCUUUACUGGAAGAGCCAUUGGCAAAUCUCUGCUACACACCAGGCUGCAAAGAAGAUGACGCCCAUCCCGGCUCUUUGAUCCCACUCUCCAGAGGCAGGGGAGGGACACUCCAUGGUGUGGUUGGGAGACGCACUGGGACAGGAGGGAAGGGCAGGAAGAUGGUUUGGUGUGAAAUUCUCCUAACCUGGAGUCACUACCCAAGGUCCUACCACCCUUAGGUAACCACAGCUAUGUCAGGGACACCACUCCUUACAGGCAGACACAAACAUCACCUGCAAAGUCUUGCUGUAACAUAUUGGGAAGAAGCCGAGGGGCGAAAAUUCCACUUUUUAACUUAUUUGCUUGCUAUUAUUACGAAGCAUCAGGCAGGGGAGAAAGGAGGUAUUUUUAUACCCAGUGUCAGGAGCACAUUUGCUAGGCAAGCCAAGGCACAGAGAUGCACCUGAUGGUGUAGGACCUCUGUUCUCUAUUCUGCAACACUGGCAACUGCAAAUACCUGCAGCCAGUGGAGUUGCACGGGGAUCAUCCCGCUCUUGUGGGCUCACAGAAGAGCAAAGGGUGCACUUCAGAGGGCAAGAUCUGGCUGGGGAUGGGGCUUAAGAACCCAGUGGAUGUAGCUUCAGGGCUUCCCAUUCUGGACUAUAACUGAACAAACUCUCAAACCUGGUGCAGAUGUGCUAAAAUUUGAUAACGCAGUAAAAAUUAAUUGAUCUCUUAUUUUUCCAUUCACUUGAUCCCAGAUCACAAAUCUCCUUGAAGCCAGCAAAGAAACCAGGUUAACAAAUUAUUGUGUGUUCUACUUAAUGCUGAGAAAUGCAGCUGCUUGCACAGUUUAUCGUGAACUGUUUGCCCUGCUGCGUGGUUGAGCACGAACUCCUCUUCUACAUGCAUUUCUGCAAUAAGCAGUCUUAGUAAGUCUUAAAUUUUCAUUUACAGAGUGGAAAACUAUCAAGAUUUUUUUACUUUUCCUUCCUCAAAGUGUAUUCAUGUCACCUAUUACUACGCUGUUUCCAAGUGAAAAUGAAAAACAGGCUCAUUAAUAAAAUAUACAAUUUUUUCCACAAGAGGAGACACCACAAACUUAGUAAGAUGACUUAUGUGAAUAAAUGACUCAUUUCUAAAAUAUUUAUCUUACUGUUUGAUAAACAGAUUGUGUCAGCCUUGAGAAUAAAAAGUCUGAAUAAAACAGCUUUAAAAACAACCAUAAGCUAAGUACCGUUGCCUUGGCCAGAGAAUAGUAUUAAUACAUAUUAGCAUUAAACAUAGCCUAUAUAUUUGUUCUUCAACAGUAAAACUGGGCAAACAACUUCAUACUUACUAAAGAUAUUUCAACACUAACAAACCAGUAUGUGGGAGGAGGUGACUCUCCAUAAACCAUUAAAUGUAAUGUAUGAAUCAAAGCCAGAAAAUUCAAUAAGUUGUUUCAGUUUUGUAGAUUGCACUGUGUGAAUGUAAGAGAAGAGGAUUCUCACUGAACUAAACAUAACCUUCAAUUAUAACAUUUGCAACUUAAAAAAAAAUUCCUGCUUAGCUUUGGUAUGUGUAAGCACUAGCCUCAUUGUACCUACCAGUAUUUUAACAACUUUAUUUUUAUAGGAGGGGCCUAUGAGCAAUACAAUUUUUUACUUUA